rnacentral:tRNA from 1 species
GCACCUGUAGCUCAAUUGGACAGAGCUUCUGACUUCGGAUCAGAAGGUUGCAGGUUCGAGUCCUGCCAGGUGCG